UACGUAGGGUGCAAGCGUUAAUCGGAAUUACUGGGCGUAAAGCGUGCGCAGGCGGUUUUGUAAGUCAGAUGUGAAAUCCCCCGGGCUUAACCUGGGAACUGCGUUUGAAACUACAAGGCUAGAGUGUGACAGAGGGGGGUGGAAUUCCACGUGUAGCAGUGAAAUGCGUAGAGAUGUGGAGGAACACCGAUGGCGAAGGCAGCCCCCUGGGUCAAGAUUGACGCUCAUGCACGAAAGCGUGGGGAGCAAACAGG
rnacentral:rRNA from 1 species